rnacentral:rRNA from 1 species
GAUUCUGGCUCAGGAUGAACGCUGGCGGCGUGCCUAACACAUGCAAGUCGAACGGUUAAGGCAUCUUCGGAUGCGAAUAGAGUGGCGAACGGGUGAGUAACACGUGACCAACCUGCCCCCCGCACCGGGACAACGGGCGGAAACGCCUGCUAAUACCGGAUACUCCGCGACGGACGCCUGUCCGGCGCGGGAAAGCCCAGGCGGCGGGGGAUGGGGUCGCGGCCCAUCAGCUAGACGGCGGGGUGACGGCCCACCGUGGCGACUACGGGUAGCCGGGUUGAGAGACCGACCGGCCACAUUGGGACUGAGACACGGCCCAGACUCCUACGGGAGGCAGCAGUGGGGAAUAUUGCGCAAUGGGGCGAAAGCCUGACGCAGCAACGCCGCGUGCGGGAAGGAGGCCUUCGGGUCGUAAACCGCUUUCAUCGGGGAAGACGUCGACUGUACCCGAGGAAGAAGCCCCGGCUAAAUACGUGCCAGCCGCCGC